UACGGAGGGUGCGAGCGUUAUUCGGAAUUACUGGGCGUAAAGCGCGUGUAGGCGGGGAGGCAAGUCUGAUGUGAAAGCCCCGGGCUUAACCUGGGAAGUGCAUUGGAAACUGCUUUUCUUGAGUGCUGGAGAGGAAGGGGGAAUUCCCGGUGUAGAGGUGAAAUUCGUAGAGAUCGGGAGGAAUACCAGUGGCGAAGGCGCCCUUCUGGACGGCAACUGACGCUGAGACGCGAAAGCGUGGGGAGCAAACAGG
rnacentral:rRNA from 1 species